GACGAACGCUGGCGGCGUGCCUAAUACAUGCAAGUCGAGCGAAUGACGAGAAGCUUGCUUCUCUGAUUUAGCGGCGGACGGGUGAGUAACACGUGGGCAACCUGCCCUACAGAUCGGGAUAACUCAGGGAAACCUGGGCUAAUACCGGAUAAUCCUUCGAAUCACAUGUUUUGAAGUUGAAAGGCGCUUCGGCGUCACUGUAGGAUGGGCCUGCGGUGCAUUAGCUAGUUGGUGGGGUAACGGCCUGCCAAGGCAACGAUGCAUAGCCGACCUGAGAGGGUGAUCGGCCACAUUGGGACUGAGACACGGCCCAAACUCCUACGGGAGGCAGCAGUAGGGAAUCUUCCACAAUGGACGAAAGUCUGAUGGAGCAACGCCGCGUGAGUGAUGAAGGUUUUCGGAUCGUAAAACUCUGUUGUAAGGGAAGAACAAGUACGUUAGGAAAUGAACGUACCUUGACGGUACCUUAUUAGAAAGCCACGGCUAACUACGUGCCAGCCGCCGCCGUAA
rnacentral:rRNA from 1 species